rnacentral:rRNA from 1 species
UACGUAGGGGGCGAGCGUUGCCCGGAAUUACUGGGCGUAAAGGGCAUGCAGGCGGCCCAGCGCGUUUUGUGUGACAGCGGGUGGCUUAACUACCCGAGUAUGCGAAAGACGGUUUGACUUGAGGGCUCGAGAGGGACACGGAAUUCCGGGUGGAGUGGUGAAAUGCGUAGAGAUCCGGAGGAACACCGAAGGCGAAGGCAGUGUCCUGGCGAGCGACUGACGCUGAGGUGCGAAAGCUAGGGGAGCGAACGGG